CAGUCGCCGCGGGAAUACGAAGGGGGCUAGCGUUGUUCGGAUUUACUGGGCGUAAAGGGCGCGUAGGCGGACUGAUAAGUCAGGGGUGAAAUCCCAAGGCUCAACCUUGGAACUGCCUUUGAUACUGUUUGUCUUGAGUUCGAGAGAGGUAAGUGGAACUGCGAGUGUAUAGGUGAAAUUCGUGGAUAUUCGCAAGAACACCAGUGGCGAAGGCGGCUUACUGGCUCGAAACUGACGCUGAGGCGCGAAAGCGUGGGGAGCAAACAGGAUUAGAUACCCCUGUAGUCCCUGUCUCUUAUAC
rnacentral:rRNA from 1 species